GAUGAACGCUGGCGGCGUGCCUAAUACAUGCAAGUCGAGCGAACAGAUAAGGAGCUUGCUCCUUUGAAGUUAGCGGCGGACGGGUGAGUAACACGUGGGUAACCUACCUAUAAGACUAGGAUAACUUCGGGAAACCGGAGCUAAUACCGGAUAACAUUAGAACCGCAUGGUUCUAAAGGGAAAGAUGGUUUUGCUAUCACUUAUAGAUGGACCCGCGCCGUAUUAGCUAGUUGGUAAGGUAACGGCUUACCAAGGCCACGAUACGCAGCCGACCUGAGAGGGUGAUCGGCCACACUGGAGCUGGGACACGGUCCAGACUCCUACGGGAGGCAGCAGUAGGGAAUCUUCCGCAAUGGGCGAAAGCCUGACGGAGCAACGCCGCGUGAGUGAUGAAGGGUUUCGGCUCGUAAAACUCUGUUAUUAGGGAAGAACAAAUGUGUAAGUAACUGUGCACAUCUUGACGGUACCUAAUCAGAAAGCCACGGCUAACUACGUGCCAGCAGCCGCGGUAA
rnacentral:rRNA from 1 species